GCCAAUCAAACUCCGUGAUAGCUGGUUCUCCCCGAAAUGCAUUUAGGUGCAGCGUCGUAGGUUAGCUUGGUGGAGGUAGAGCUACUGUUUGGUUGAGCGGGACUAUCAUCUUAGCAACAUCAGACAAACUCCGAAUGCCAUUGAAGUGUUCUACGGCAGUGAGACUGUGGGGGAUAAGCUUCAUAGUCGAGAGGGAAACAGCCCAGAUCGCCGGCUAAGGCCCCUAAGGGUGUACUAAGUGGAAAAGGAUGUGGGAUCGCGAUGACAGCCAGGAGGUUGGCUUAGAAGCAGCCAUCCUUGAAAGAGUGCGUAAUAGCUCACUGGUCGAGUGGUUCUGCGCCGACAAUGUAGUGGGGCUCAAGUACACCGCCGAAGCCGCGGCAACUUUUUAGUUGGGUAGGGGAGCGUCGUGCAUGAGGUGAAGCAUGAGUGUGAACACGUGUGGAUUGUGUGCGAGUGAGAAUGCAGGCAUGAGUAACGAAUUGUAAGGUGAGAAUCCUUACCGCCGGAUGACUAAGGGUUCCUGGGUCAAGUUCGUCUUCCCAGGGUGAGUCGGGACCUAAGGCGAGGCCGACAGGCGUAGUCGAUGGAUAACCAGUUGAUAUUCUGGUACCCGAGUGUGUGCGUCAAUGGUAAAGCAGUGAUACUAACCACGUGUGAGACUCAUUGAUUAUGCUCUUUGAGUGUGUUGAUGGGUUGAGUUUGUGGGGCCUGAUCUGUGGUCCAAGUGAUGGGGUGACGCAGUGGGGCAGCCACGCCGCUUAUUGGAUUGUUGGUGUAAGCGUUGAGGUUGGUGCCAUUGGUAAAUCCGGGCACUGUUUGCUGAGGCGUGAUGCGUAGCCCUUUUUUGGGUGAAUGUGGUGUGCUUAUGCUGUCGAGAAAAGCCUCUAGCGAGUGCAUAUUCGGCCCGUACCCUAAACCGACACAGGUAGUCAGGUUGAGAAUACUAAGGCGUUCGGGUGAACUGUGGUUAAGGAACUCGGCAAAAUGUCCCCGUAACUUCGGGAGAAGGGGAGCCCCACCGGGUUUUGCUUGGUGGGGCCGCAGAGAAUAGAGGGGUCCGACUGUUUAUCAAAAACACAGGUCCAUGCGAAAACGUUAAGUUGAUGUAUAUGGACUGACGCCUGCCCGGUGCUGGAAGGUUAAGAGGACCUGUUAGAUCUUUUGGGUCGAAGCGGAGAAUUUAAGCCCCAGUAAACGGCGGUGGUAACUAUAACCAUCCUAAGGUAGCGAAAUUCCUUGUCGGGUAAGUUCCGACCUGCACGAAUGGAGUAACGAUUUCCCUACUGUCUCCACCAUGAACUCGGUGAAAUUGCAUUACGAGUAAAGAUGCUCGUUACGCGCAGCAGGACGGAAAGACCCCGGGACCUUUACUAUAGUUUGGUAUUGGUGAUUGGGACGGUUUGUGUAGGAUAGGUGGGAGACGUUGAUGCGGCCACGCUAGUGGUGGUGGAGUCGUUGGUGAAAUACCACUCUGAUUGUUCUGGUUAUCUCACUGUGGACCGUGAUCCGGUUCAAGGACAGUGCCUGAUGGGUAGUUUGACUGGGGCGGUCGCCUCCUAAAGGGU
rnacentral:rRNA from 1 species